rnacentral:rRNA from 1 species
GGCUUAACACAUGCAAGUCGAGGGGCAGCGGGGGUAGCGAUACCCGCCGGCGACCGGCGCACGGGUGAGUAACGCGUAUGCAACUUGCCUAUCAGAGGGGGAUAACCCGGCGAAAGUCGGACUAAUACCGCAUGAAGCAGGGGCCCCGCAUGGGGAUAUUUGCUAAAGAUUCAUCGCUGAUAGAUAGGCAUGCGUUCCAUUAGGCAGUUGGCGGGGUAACGGCCCACCAAACCGACGAUGGAUAGGGGUUCUGAGAGGAAGGUCCCCCACAUUGGUACUGAGACACGGACCAAACUCCUACGGGAGGCAGCAGUGAGGAAUAUUGGUCAAUGGCCGAGAGGCUGAACCAGCCAAGUCGCGUGAGGGAUGAAGGUUCUAUGGAUCGUAAACCUCUUUUAUAAGGGAAUAAAGUGCGGGACGUGUCCCGUUUUGUAUGUACCUUAUGAAUAAGGAUCGGCUAACUCCGUGCCAGCAGCCGCGGUAAUACGGAGGAUCCGAGCGUUAUCCGGAUUUAUUGGGUUUAAAGGGUGCGUAGGCGGCCUUUUAAGUCAGCGGUGAAAGUCUGUGGCUCAACCAUAGAAUUGCCGUUGAAACUGGGGGGCUUGAGUAUGUUUGAGGCAGGCGGAAUGCGUGGUGUAGCGGUGAAAUGCAUAGAUAUCACGCAGAACCCCGAUUGCGAAGGCAGCCUGCCAAGCCAUUACUGACGCUGAUGCACGAAAGCGUGGGGAUCAAACAGGAUUAGAUACCCUGGUAGUCCACGCAGUAAACGAUGAUCACUAGCUGUUUGCGAUACACUGUAAGCGGCACAGCGAAAGCGUUAAGUGAUCCACCUGGGGAGUACGCCGGCAACGGUGAAACUCAAAGGAAUUGACGGGGGCCCGCACAAGCGGAGGAACAUGUGGUUUAAUUCGAUGAUACGCGAGGAACCUUACCCGGGUUUGAACGCAUUCGGACCGAGGUGGAAACACCUUUUCUAGCAAUAGCCGUUUGCGAGGUGCUGCAUGGUUGUCGUCAGCUCGUGCCGUGAGGUGUCGGCUUAAGUGCCAUAACGAGCGCAACCCUUGCCACUAGUUACUAACAGGUAAAGCUGAGGACUCUGGUGGGACUGCCAGCGUAAGCUGCGAGGAAGGCGGGGAUGACGUCAAAUCAGCACGGCCCUUACAUCCGGGGCGACACACGUGUUACAAUGGCGUGGACAAAGGGAGGCCACCUGGCGACAGGGAGCGAAUCCCCAAACCACGUCUCAGUUCGGAUCGGAGUCUGCAACCCGACUCCGUGAAGCUGGAUUCGCUAGUAAUCGCGCAUCAGCCAUGGCGCGGUGAAUACGUUCCCGGGCCUUGUACACACCGCCCGUCAAGCCAUGGGAGCCGGGGGUACCUGAAGUCCGUAACCGAAAGGAUCGGCCUAGGGUAAAACUGGUGACUGGGGCUAAGA